rfam:Salmo salar isolate Sally breed double haploid chromosome ssa29, whole genome shotgun sequence.
UGCACUCACUACUGCAAGUCGCUCUAGAUAAGAGCGUCUGCGAAAUGCCUAAAA